rnacentral:rRNA from 1 species
AGAGUUUGAUCCUGGCUCAGGACGAACGCUGGCGGCGUGCUUAACACAUGCAAGUCGAGCGAUGAGAUCACUUCGGUGAAGGAUUAGCGGCGAACGGGUGAGGAACACGUGAAGAAUCUGCCUUCAACUCUGGGAUAACUCCGGGAAACCGGGGCUAAUACCGGAUAUGAGCCUUGAUCGCAUGAUCGGGGCUGGAAAGUUUUUCGGUUGAAGAUGACUUCGCGGCCUAUCAGCUUGUUGGUGAGGUAAUGGCUCACCAAGGCGACGACGGGUAGCCGGCCUGAGAGGGCGACCGGCCACACUGGGACUGAGACACGGCCCAGACUCCUACGGGAGGCAGCAGUGGGGAAUAUUGGGCAAUGGAGGAAACUCUGACCCAGCGACGCCGCGUGCGGGAUGAAGGCCUUCGGGUUGUAAACCGCUUUCAGCAGGGAAUAAGCGCAAGUGAAGGUACCUGCAGAAGAAGCACCGGCUAACUAUGUGCCAGCAGCCGCGGUAAUACAUAGGGUGCAAGCGUUGUCCGGAAUUAUUGGGCGUAAAGAGCUCGUAGGUGGUUUGUUACGUCGGUUGUGAAAUUCAGGGGCUCAACCCCUGACUUGCAGGCGAUACGGGCAAGCUAGAGUUUGGUAGGGGAGACUGGAAUUCCUGGUGUAGCGGUGGAAUGCGCAGAUAUCACGAGGAACACCGAUGGCGAAGGCAGGUCUCUGGGCCAAUACUGACACUGAGGAGCGAAAGCGUGGGGAGCGAACAGGAUUAGAUACCCUGGAUAGUCCACG